CUGUGGAGCUAGUUCUCGAUUGCUGUGCAAAAGACGUGUUGAAGCAUCAGCAGCUACGUUUAUAAAAAAUAUAUAUUUUAAUAUAUAAAUUAUUUAUUUUUAGCUAUUUAAAUUUUUUUAAUUUUUCGUUUAGAUUGUAUAUAUCGGAGUCAUUGGAUAAUGAAGGUCUUCAACAUGUUGGAUGAAAGGGCAAGGGACAGUCUGACAAAGCAUCCUUAGAAAUGUCUCGAUUCAGACGAGCGGAAACUCAUCAAAUUGCAAUUUAAUCUAACUGAGGAUGAGGAAAAUUACGAAUGUUUGCAAGCGCCAGAUGAGAUAAUUGUUUUAGACACUACUGCUGCAUCAAGCCAGUCACAAGACAACGCUACAAGCGCCACUAUCGAAUUCCGAAAAUUUGGUUACACAUGAUGUCAAUGUGUUAUUCUCGAGCGGCUCCAUGGAUAUAAGUAAUUUAUGCAACUGGCCGCUAGAAGCUACAUAUAGUCAAAGUCUAUAUAUAAGUCGGAAAAACGCAAUCAAAUUUUGCAAAGUUGUAAUGAAACUGAAUUUUUUUGAACCAGUAUAAAUGAUUUGCAACUGUUAAU